GCAGUUGACACAGUACAGUGGUGUAGUGGUUAGCACUCUCGCCUCCCAGACAGAUGCCUCGGGUUCAACUCCACCCAGUGGUGCCUCUGUGUUAGGUGGUGUAGGCUAAGCCUGCACGGGAUUCACUCCAUACUUGUAAAAGUAAUGAAAAAAGUUUUUUAAAACUUCCGCAUCUGAAAAGAAUGCCAAAAUAUUUUGCAAAAAGUCAUGAAAUUCUAUCUUUAGUCAUAUGAAGGGCGACGACGGUGAGAAAACGUACUUUUGAAUAUAAAUCUGAAUUCUUUCUGAAUUGGAGUCAUAAGACAUUCUAAUGGCAGCAGUUGACACGGUACAGUGGUGUAGUGGUUAGCACUCUCGCCUCCCAGAGAGAUGCCUCGGGUUCAACUCCACCCAGUGGUGCCUCUGUGUUAGUUGGUGUAGGCUAAGCCUGCAUGGGAUUCACUCAAUAUUUGUAAAAGUAAUGAAAAACGUUUUUUAAAACUUCCGCAUCUGAAAAGAAUGCCAAAAUAUUUUGCAAAAUGUCAUGAAAUUCUAUCUUUAGUCAUAUGAAGGGGGACAAUGGUGAGAAAACGUACUUUUGAAUAAAAAUCCGGAUAUUUUCUAAAUGGGAGUCAAUAGACAAUCUAAUUGCAGCAGUUGACACGGUACAGUGGUGUAGUGGUUAGCACUCUCGCCUCCCAGACAGGUGCCUCGGGUUCAACUCCACCCAGUGGCGCCACUGUGUUAGGUGGUGUAGGCUAAGCCUGCAUGGGGUUCACUCCAUAUUUGUAAAAGUAAUGGAAAAAACUUUUUUUAAACUUCCAAGUCUAAAAAAAAUGCCAAAAUAUUUUGCAAAAAGUAAUGAAAUUCUAUCUUUAGUCAUAUGAAGGUGUACGAUGGUGAGAAAACGUACUUUUGAAUAAAAAUCCGGAUAUUUUCUAAA
ensembl:lncRNA